UAGCGGAGGAAAAGAAACCAACAGGGAUUGCCCAGUACGGCGAGUGAAGCGGCAACAGCUCAAAUUUGAAAUCUGGCCCCUCCCACGGGGGGGCCCGAGUUGUAAUUUGCAGAGGAUGCUUCUGGCGAGGUGCCUUCCGAGUUCCCUGGAACGGGACGCCACAGAGGGUGAGAGCCCCGUCUGGUCGGACACCGAGCCUCUGUGAAGCUCCUUCGACGAGUCGAGUAGUUUGGGAAUGCUGCUCUAAAUGGGAGGUAUAUGUCUUCUAAAGCUAAAUACCGGCCAGAGACCGAUAGCGCACAAGUAGAGUGAUCGAAAGAUGAAAAGCACUUUGAAAAGAGGGUUAAACAGUACGUGAAAUUGUUGAAAGGGAAGCGCUCACGACCAGACCUGGUCCCGGCGAAUCACCCGGCGUUCUCGCCGGUGCACUUCGGCGGGCUUCCAGGCCAGCAUCAGUCCGCGCCGGGGGACAAAGGCGGCGGGAACGUGGCUCCCCAGGGAGUGUUAUAGCCCGCCGCGCAAUGCCCCGGGGGCGGACUGAGGACCGCGCGUCUACCGCAAGGAUGCUGCGAAUGCUCGUCAGCGACCCGUCUUGAAACCGGAAACAAAAGCCUGCAUCCUUGCGGAAGACGCGCGGUCCUCAUUCGCCCCCGGGGCAUUGCGCGGCGGGCUAUAACACUCCCUGGAGAGCCCGUUCCCCCGCCUUUGUCCCCGGCGCGGACUGAUGCUGGCCUGGGAAACCCCCCAAGUGCACCGGCAGAACCCGGGGGAUUCCCGGACAGGUCGGGUCUGAGCGCUUCCUUUCACAUUUCCGUACUGUUAACCUCUUUUCAAGUGCUUUUCAUCUUUCAUCCUCUACUUGUGCCUAUCCGGUCUCUGGCGGGUAUUAGCUUUAGAGCAUAUACUCCACUUAAACGCAGUCCAACUACUGCGUCGUCGAGGACUUCCCGAGGCUCGGAGUCGACCGACGGGGGCCUACCUCUGGUGGGCAUCGUUCGGGAAUUGGAGAACGCGGAGCAUCCUCUGCAUUACCUCGGGCUCAUGGGAGGGGCGAAUUCAAUUAGAUUGGCGUACUCGCUACGGGCAAUCCUGUAGUUCAUUUCCCGUAUUAUAGUUCAGA
rnacentral:rRNA from 1 species